rnacentral:rRNA from 1 species
CCCUGGUAGUCCACGCCGUAAACGAUGUCGACUUGGAGGUUGUGCCCUUGAGGCGUGGCUUCCGGAGCUAACGCGUUAAGUCGACCGCCUGGGGAGUACGGCCGCAAGGUUAAAACUCAAAUGAAUUGACGGGGGCCCGCACAAGCGGUGGAGCAUGUGGUUUAAUUCGAUGCAACGCGAAGAACCUUACCUGGUCUUGACAUCCACAGAACUUUCCAGAGAUGGAUUGGUGCCUUCGGGAACUGUGAGACAGGUGCUGCAUGGCUGUCGUCAGCUCGUGUUGUGAAAUGUUGGGUUAAGUCCCGCAACGAGCGCAACCCUUAUCCUUUGUUGCCAGCGGUCCGGCCGGGAACUCAAAGGAGACUGCCAGUGAUAAACUGGAGGAAGGUGGGGAUGACGUCAAGUCAUCAUGGCCCUUACGACCAGGGCUACACACGUGCUACAAUGGCGCAUACAAAGAGAAGCGACCUCGCGAGAGCAAGCGGACCUCAUAAAGUGCGUCGUAGUCCGGAUUGGAGUCUGCAACUCGACUCCAUGAAGUCGGAAUCGCUAGUAAUCGUGGAUCAGAAUGCCACGGUGAAUACGUUCCCGGGCCUUGUACACACCGCCCGUCACACCAUGGGAGUGGGUUGCAAAAGAAGU